rnacentral:rRNA from 1 species
CGGACCGGCGCACGGGUGAGUAACGCGUAUGCAACCUACCUAUCAGGAGGGGAACUAACCCGGCGAAAGUCGGACUAAUACCGCAUAAAACAGGGGUUCCACAUGGAAAUAUUUGUUAAAGAAUUAUCGCUGAUAGAUGGGCAUGCGUUCCAUUAGAUAGUUGGUGAGGUAACGGCUCACCAAGUCCACGAUGGAUAGGGGUUCUGAGAGGAAGGUCCCCCACACUGGUACUGAGACACGGACCAGACUCCUACGGAAGGCAGCAG